rfam:Dipodomys ordii contig_64311, whole genome shotgun sequence.
GGUGGCUCAGUGGUAGAGCGCUUGCCUUGCAUGCAUGAGGCCUUGGGUUCGGUUCCUCAGCACCA